rnacentral:rRNA from 1 species
UGGGGAAUAUUGCACAAUGGACGGAAGUUUGAUGCAGCGACGCCGCGUGGAGGGUGUAGGCCUUCGGGUUGUGAACUCCUUUUUCUCGCGAAAAAGGCACAGUUUUGGCUGUGUUGAUGGUAGUGGGGAAGAAGCGCCGGCUAACUACGUGCCAGCCGCCGCGGUAAUACGGAGGGCGCGAGCGUUGUGCGGAUUUAUUGGGCGUAAAGAGCUCGUAGGUGGUUCGUAGCGUCUGUCGUGAAAGCCAGGAGCUUAACUGUUGGGCUGCGGUGGGUACGGGCGGGCUUGAGUGCGGUAGGGGUGACUGGAAUUCCUGGUGUAGCGGUGGAAUGCGCAGAUAUCAGGAGGAACACCGAUGGCGAAGGCAGGUCACGGGGCCGUUACUGACACUGAGGAGCGAAAGCGUGGGGAGCGAACAGG